rnacentral:rRNA from 1 species
GACGAACGCUGGCGGCGUGCCUAAUACAUGCAAGUUGAGCGCUGAGGGUUUGUACUUGUGCCGACUUCGUGAGCAGCACACGUGUGAAUAACGCGUGUAGACUGUCCCUUACAUCGGGAUACAACAUGGGGAAACGAAUGCUAAUACCGCAUAAACACUUGAAACACAGUGUUGAAUGGUGAAAUAUGGAAUUGCGUCGCUUAAGGAUGGACUCGCGGUUUAUUAGCGGGGUGGUGACGUAAUAACUCACCAACGCGUUGAUGGAUAGCCGGCCUGAGAGGGUGACCGGCCACAUUGGGCCUGGGGUGCGACCCAGACUCCUACGUGAGGCAUCAGUGGGAAAUAUUGCACGAUGGGCGGAGGGCGUGAGCAGCAACGCCGCGUGCGAGAUGACGGCUUUCGGGGUGUAAACCUCUUGCGCCUGGAACGAAGCGUGAGUGACGGUAAUGAGUAAGGAAGCACCGGCUAACUACGUG